AAAUUGAAGAGUUUGAUCAUGGCUCAGAUUGAACGCUGGCGGCAGGCCUAACACAUGCAAGUCGAACGGUAACAGGAAGCAGCUUGCUGCUUUGCUGACGAGUGGCGGACGGGUGAGUAAUGUCUGGGAAAC
rnacentral:rRNA from 4 species